AUUGAACGCUGGCGGCAGGCCUAACACAUGCAAGUCGAGCGCGCGGCGGACGGGUGAGUAAUGUCUGGGAAACUGACUGAUGGAGGGGGAUAAAUAAUGGAAACGGUAGCUAAUACCGCAUACCAUAAGAUAGGCCCAGAUGGGAUUAGCUAGUAGGUGGGGUAACGGAUCAACUAGGCGACGAUCCCUAGCUGGUCUGAGAGGAUGACCAGCCACACUGGAACUGAGACACGGUCCAGACUCCUACGGGAGGCAGCAGUGGGGAAUAUUGCACAAUGGGCGCAAGCCUGAUGCAGCCAUGCCGCGUGUGUGAAGAAGGCCUUCGGGUUGUAAAGCACUUUCAGCGGGGAGGCGUUACCCGCAGAAGAAGCACCGGCUAACUCCGUGCCAGCCGCCGCGGUAAUUC
rnacentral:rRNA from 1 species